UUGUUUGCUCUUUUUUUUUUAAAACAAAACAAAACAAAACUCCUUCCGUGUGACUUUUUUUUUAUAUAUAUAAAGCAUUUGUAACAACACACGGCAUUUAUAACUUACUUUUCCCCCAGUUGAAGAUGUCUAUAUUUUUUCAAAAUACUUUAUGUAAUUUUGGGGUGGAAAAAACCCCAGCGUUGACAGCUGUGAUUUGGCUUGCCAAAAAUAAAUUGCUUGAACCGAGACUUGUGAAUGGUGGUGUGAGGGCUUUCCUUGCUGUAAUCUAGGGUGUUAAAAAUGAAGAAUUGUCUUUCCUAAUGCAUAGCUUGGUUUUACCUUUGCUGUCUUAAUAGUUUGUUAUUGUUUGUGGAAUAUCAUUCUUUUUUCAAGAUAAAUUUAUUGAAAAAUCACAAAUUACACCUUAAGUUAAAAAAAUGGUGUUGUAAAUCACUGAUUCUGGGCAGAUCCUUAUGGUAAUUUAGAGUCUAAAUUCCGUUGUCUAGAUGAGUACAUGUCAGAAGUUUGCUCUAACUACAUAAGGGGAUUUCCCUUUCUUUUGUUCAUCUAAUUUUUUCCUUCUGGCAAGUUGUGCCCUGCUUAUUGACAAAAGAUUGAAAUGCUUAUAUAUAUAUAUAAAUUUGAAAACUUUAAGAAACUAAAAUAAUACUGUUCAUAAUCAAAUGAGUCUAAAUCAAAAUUACUUUGGAAGGUGGAUAUUGAGAUGUGUACUUUUUAAUAUGUUUGCAUAUGUAAUUCCAGUUAGCCUUUUAAUGGAGCAUUUGAUACACUAAAUAACUUGAAACAAAAUGGGAUUACUUUCAUUACAUGUAGCAUACUCUUGUCAGUUAUUUUGACAGUGGCUUUGGGGUAGGGAUGAAAACUUGAUAGGAAGGAUGCUUUAUAAAAUCUGAUAGAAUUUCUAGACCAUUGGUUUAUCCCAGAAGUUAAAGGAGGUAGCAGUAAAAUACUGUAUGAAGAUACCGGUUAUGACCUGGAACCUCGUUGGGUUUUGGCCUACUCCUGGACAUUUGCUCUGUUGGGUACAAGCAAAUAGGAUUUUGAGAGUGUGUGGAAGGGAGGCCAGAGAAAUUGGUAGUAGACAUAGGAAAGAAAUGUGGCCACUGCCCUGGGGUGAACUUUGGGGGGGAAAGCAAAGGUAAUUAGAGAGGAUUUUGAGGAAGAGCUUUCAGCAAAAUAGUAUAUCUUACUUAGCAAUGCUUUUGGAAUUGAAACUUUUUCUUUUCGGUGUAUUUUUAAAAAAUAUAUAUUUUUAUUUAUUUCAGAGAGGAAGGUAGAGGGAAGGAGAGAUAGAAGCAUCAAUGAUGAGAGAGAAUCAUUGAUAGGCUGCCUCCUGCAUGACCUCUACUGGGGAUUGAGCCCAUAACCCGGGCAUGUGCCCUUGACCUGGGACCUUUCAGUCCCCAGGUUCACGCUCUAUCCACUGAGCCAAACUGGCUAGGGCUUGAGUGUAUUAUUUUAAGAGGUGCUUCAAGGCAGAAAGCCAAAAACAGUUACAGUGGGAUUGGGUUAGCCACUCAAGGAGAUUCAGUGAUAUCCAGGUUCUUCCAAAAUAAAAUUUAAACUUUCUGAAAAAUGAGAGUUUAUAUUUUUUAGAAAAUCAGGCUAUUGUGAGUUUAUAAUAAUAUAGUUAAUAUUCUGGCUAUUUGUCAAUUUAUAACCUUUAGUUUAGUACACAAACUUUUUAAACAUUGGUGCAUAUCAAAGUAGCCUCAGUAAGGAAACUGAGGCAUAGGCCAAAGAGAUGGUUGGCCAAAA